rnacentral:sRNA from 1 species
UACAUGCUGAUAAAUGGUGUUCAGUAGCAAUUGUUCUGUCCAUUCUACAGAUUAACCACCCUCCUUACAAAAUUUUGCGAGACAAAAUAUUUUGAAUUAUUCUGUCUUGAUACCCUACUGACGAUGGAUCAUUGCUGCAAUCAGUGUACCUAUGCAUUCAAAUGAGGACAACGAAAUGCUCAUACCUUCCAAUUUCCAGUUGGACAGUAUAAACCACCAGCUGACCCUGAACACCCAAGAUCAUCAAACUAUAGAGUAAGCAUUGUUGGAUUCGUUGUCAGGCUGUACCAUUUGCCUGGGCUUCUGGUCUUCACCAGCGUUCCUGGGCGAUGUAACGGUGGAAGACGAUGAGGAUGGCGAAGGCGAUACCGCCUUGCGCACCGGGCUGAAUGGCAUGUGCAGCGGCCUCCGCAGUUCGCUCAUUGGGCUUCUGGGGCUCAGGAGUAGAGGAGGUGGCUGCGGCUGUGGUUGCUGCUGUUGCUGUGGAGCUUCUGCAGCAGCAUCUUGGUGAUGCCCUUGCUGUUGUUGUUGCUCUGUUGCAACUUUGUUUAGAAUGUUCUGUAGUGUGGGGAUUAGUUUUGCUGUAACAGAGAUGAUCCCAGGAACCUGCAAUAUAUAAGAUUCAGCAUAAUUG